rnacentral:lncRNA from 1 species
AAAUGUUGACUUUGGUCAAUAGUUGACUUUUUGAUCAAGUUUGACCAAAGUCAACUCAACCCCUUUUUCCAUCCUAAAAAUCUAAACCCCUUUCCCAAUAUUCAAAGUUGAUCCUUGACCAUUUGGUUUACCAUUUGUACAUGAAUGCUCCAAAAUUCAAACUUGGUCACUUGGUUACAUGCUUUGUUCAACCACCACCCACUUCAUGUGCAUAUGACCUAUGAGAAAUGAAACAAACCUGCACGUAAAAAUCAAUGCCAAGUUUCUACCAAACAUAGCAAAACAAUGAGCCAAGUUAAAACCAAGCAUGAUGCAAAAUCUAGAUCACAUGAAACCUAAUGCAUAACCUACAUGAACCAUUGCCAACAUAUGAAUGAAGUUAGAACUGAUAACUGAAAUGCAAUUACAAAGUCAGGAAAUAUACAAUGUCAUGAUGCAUGAAUAAAGCCAGAAUUGCAAGUGGACAAGAUACAAGCCAAUGAACCAUUUCACAAGAUUAUAAACUCCAUACCUGCCACAACAGAACCAUAAGCAAGUCAAAAGGAAUGCUGCAAUAUACAGGCCAAGCAAUGCACAUGAUUACCUGCUAAGUCAUAAGUCACAUGCUACAAACCAAGGCAUUGAACACAAACCAAGCUGCAAAAUGCUAACAGACCUACACACAAACAGAACUCAACAACAAACCAUCACAUGAGAAUGAUCAAAGCUAACAACCAACUCAAUUUCACACAUGACAAAUCCACAAUUUCACAAGGCCAUUUAUAUCCAAGUGCAGUUCAGUCCAUUUAAGUCAAUCCAGUUCCAUUCAUGUGUGUUUUCAUGUGUAAUAGUUCAUCUUAGAUCAAAACAAACUUUACCAUUUAGCAGCAUCCAUUAGCAGACUUGUGGUAGGAGAUGAUGUAUGCUGAGCUUACCUCUACUUUGUGGUGUUCAUCUCGACUAAGCACCUCCAUUGAUAGGAAGAAUUAGUAGAGUAUUAUGGAAGGAAACUUAUGGCAACACAUGUGGUAACAAAUGAGGAUAACAUGGUAUCAGUAUUUGCAAUGGGAAUUUAAAGCAGCGUAACUUUCUUUGUUUAAGUUCAAACUAACAUUUGCUUCUUAACUGAAAUAACAAUGAAAAAUUGAAAACUCAGCCAAUUAAUAAUUGGAAGCAACUGCAUCACGGCCAAGAUUGCUCUUCAUGUCCACUGUAAAACGCAAAUUCAAGUUAAACUCACAUCGAAAUUCAACUCAUCCUCACCAUUUGAAACUACCUAAAAACUAACCGGUUCCAAAUUCUAACUAACAUUUCAUAUCCUAACUAACUCAAACCAACUCCAUAACUGACUUCCUAAUUUCAUCUUGCAUUUGACCCUAAUUUCAACUAAGUUUCUAACUGAAUUAUAAAGCCUAUAAAUGCCAUCACCAUAAUUCAGUUAGCAUAUUUCAACCAUACUUCACAAAACUCAAUCUUCAUCUUCUUCAUUCACUGAAAUCUUCACCCACACCGGAGCUCAAAAAUCUCCAUUUUUGUUAGAGUUUCAUUGUUUGAAAGUCUAAACAAACUGAGCUAAACCUCUUCCACACUUACCUCACACAAGCAUCCAUAACAACAACACAAAGCAACGACGAUUUUUCUACAUACUGAAGAAGAAGAAAGAAGAAAGGUAGAAGAAGAGGAUUUCAACCAAAGGAAAAGAUUCAGAGAUAUUCACCUGGAAUUCGCUCGUCACCAGCUUCAAGGUCUCCGACACGGUGAGUCUUGAUUUCUUCCUAUUCUUUCAAUUCCUGUUGCUGGCAUGUGGAGGGUGAAGAAA